CAACAACAACAAUGAUAACAAUUUACGUAUUUGAUUAAUUAGAUCACAGAGUUUCACAAAAAUUGCGUUCAACAAGUAAAAUUUUUCCAAACUUUUGAGGAAAUAGAUGAAUUUAUAUGCAACCGCAAAAACACGAUGGAAUAUGGAAAAUAUAUAAAAUGUUUUCGUGCAGCUAUGACUGCUCUCAAUCAAGACAGUCCUUCCACUUUUUCUAAAACACUUUUUAUUCUUUUCUUUUAGAAAUGUUUAACGCUAGUGGAGAACCUCGAACAUAAAGAUAACCAUCAAAUGUAUCCAAAAUUUUUAUUUAGGCCUAUAAAUUAAAUUAGAGAAGAUCUAGAUGACUUGUAAUUACAUUUAACAUUAUCAUCCAAUCAUUGUUUAAUCUUCGAAACAUUAAAUCGCGUCAUUAAUGUAACUAUUUAGUUAUUAUUGUCUGUUAAGUGCUAUUACCAUAAGGGAGUCCUAUUAUACUGGUGUAAUCUACCAAACACAAAGAGGAAUCAGUAGUCAAAAGGCUAAGGAGUGGAAGAAUUAGGUAAGUGGAAACUGAUAUUCGGUAUAUUACACCAGUGUAAUAAGUGCUAUUGCCAUAAGGGAGUCU